rnacentral:rRNA from 1 species
UACGAAGGGGGCUAGCGUUGCUCGGAAUCACUGGGCGUAAAGCGCACGUAGGCGGAUUGUUAAGUCAGGGGUGAAAUCCUGGAGCUCAACUCCAGAACUGCCUUUGAUACUGGCGAUCUCGAGUCCGGGAGAGGUGAGUGGAACUGUGGGUGGAGCGGUGAAAUGCGUUGAUAUCCACAGGAACUCCGGUGGCGAAGGCGGCACGCUGGACCCCCACUGACGCUGAGGCGCGAAAGCCAGGGGAGCGAACGGG